rnacentral:sRNA from 1 species
AGCAGCCGCGGUAAUUCCAGCUCCAAUAGCGUAUAUUAAAGUUGUUGCAGUUAAAAAGCUCGUAGUUGAAUUUCGGGAUCAAUAUAUCGGUCGUGCCAUCGGUACGUACUGGUAUGAUUGGUUUCUCCUUUCUGACGAACCAUGAUGUCAUUAAUUUGGUGUUAUGGGAAGCUAGGACUGUUAACUUUGAAAAAUUAGAGUGUUUAAAGCAGGCUCGCGCUUGAAUACAUUAGCAUGGAAUAAUGAAAUAGGACGUUUGAUUCUAUUUUGUUGGUUUCUAGGAUCGACGUAAUGAUUAAUAGGGAUAGUUGGGGGCAUUAGUAUUCAAUUGUCAGAGGUGAAAUUCUUGGAUUUAUUGAAGACUAACUACUGCGAAAGCGUUUGCCAAGGAUGUUUUCAUUAAUCAAGAACGAAAGUUAGGGGAUCGAAGACGAUCAGAUACCGUCGUAGUCUUAACCAUAAACUAUGCCGACUAGGGAUCGGAUGAUGUUAUUUUGAUGACUCAUUCGGCUACCG